rnacentral:lncRNA from 1 species
GCUGAAAAAGAGAUAGGUUUACGAGGAAAAAUAUUGUUUGAAAAAUCGAAAAUUAAAAAAAAAAGUAUAGUAACACCAAUUAUUAUAGUUUUUGCAGAAACACAAAUGAGUUAUUGGUAAUUUAGGAUACAUAAUAGAAAUAAAUAUUUUAAAAAUAUUCUAAAUGUCAAAUCCAAGGUCGGCUAAUAAGAAUUUUGUGUCGCAAGAUUAGCUGUCUUCAAUAAUUGAAAAUAUGAUCUUAUUUUGUCUUUUUGUAAUAAUAGAUCGGCUUUAGGUGAUGGAUUGAUUGUAGGCGGUUAUUUGCUCGAGUGAUUUCAUAGAUCCGCUUUGGUGUGUGGUUAACCGUUUGGCUUGGGUUUUGGACGAGAUCUCGAUAGGUUAGAUCGAUGGAUGCUCUCCGAGGAAGGUUCUCAAGCGGGGAAGAUCGGCCGGUCUCGUUCUGGUGGCUUGCGGCGCCGGUUACGGUGGCAUGCUUGGAAAACUAGGGUUUCCAUAAGUUUGGGCCGCGUGGGGUUUAAAGUUUAGGCCGUUUUUUUUGUUUAUACUAGUUGGGCCGGAUGCGUGGGCUUUUAUUGUAAUGUUUCUUGGUUGGGCUUGUCCCUUAAUUUUAAUAAACUCAGUUGGGAAAAAAAAAAAAGAUCGGCUUUAGGUUACCUUUAAAACCUAUAUUGUGUGCAACACUCUCUCAUACACUCAUGUUUAGUGAAUUUCAAGUUAGACAUAAA